GACGAACGCUGGCGGCGUGGAUUAGGCAUGCAAGUCGAACGGUAUCAUCCUUUCGGGGGUGAGAGAGUGGCGAACUGGUGAGUAACACGUAGGUUAUCUACCCUCAAGACGGGGACAACCCAGGGAAACUUGGGCUAAUACCGGAUGUGAGCAACUUUUAGUGUUUGAAAGGUGGCGUAAGCUGUCGCUUGGGGAUGAGCCUGCGUCCUAUUAGUUAGUUGGUGAGGUGACGGCUCACCUAGGCAAUGAUAGGUAGGCGGCCUUAACGGGUGGUCGCCCACACUGGGAUUGAGAUACGGCCCAGACUCCUACGGGAGGCAGCAGUCGAGAAUAGUCUACAAUGGUCGGAAGACUGAUAGUGCGACGCCGCGUGAACGAUGAAUCCCUUCGGGGUGUAAAGUUCUUUUAUAUGUGAGCAGUGCUUCUUAUAUUAACAGUAUGGGGAGAGAGAUAUUAGCAUAUGAAUAAGCAACGGCUAACUCCGUGCCCAGCAGCCGCGGU
rnacentral:rRNA from 1 species